rnacentral:rRNA from 1 species
UACGGGGGGGGCAAGCGUUGUUCGGAAUUACUGGGCGUAAAGGGCUCGCAGGCGGCCCUCUCAGUCGGAUGUGAAAUCCCCAGGCUUAACCUGGGAAUGGCAUCCGAUACUGGAGGGCUUGAAUUCGGGAGAGGGAUGCAGAAUUCCAGGCGUAGCGGUGAAAUGCGUAGAUAUCUGGAGGAAUACCGGUGGCGAAGGCGGCAUCCUGGACCGAGAUUGACGCUGAGGAGCGAAAGCUAGGGGAGCAAACGGG